UCUCUGUAGGUGAACCUGCGGAGGGAUCAUUACUGAGUGAGGGCUUCGGUCCGACCUCCAACCCUUUGUGAACCAAACUUGUUGCUUCGGGGGCGACCCUGCCGCUUCGGCGGUGCGGCGCCCCCGGAGGCCAUUAAACACUGCAUCAUUGCGUCGGAGUUAAAGUAAAUUAAACAAAACUUUAAACAUCGGAUCUCUUGGUGCCAGCAUCGAUGAAGAACGCAGC
rnacentral:misc_RNA from 1 species